rnacentral:rRNA from 1 species
GAUGAACGCUGGCGGCGUGCCUAAUACAUGCAAGUCGAGCGAACAGAUGAGGAGCUUGCUCCUCUGAUGUUAGCGGCGGACGGGUGAGUAACACGUGGAUAACCUACCUAUAAGACUGGGAUAACUUCGGGAAACCGGAGCUAAUACCGGAUAAUAUAUUGAACCGCACGGUUCAAUAGUGAAAGACGGUUUUGCUGUCACUUAUAGAUGGAUCCGCGCCGCAUUAGCUAGUUGGUAAGGUAACGGCUUACCAAGGCAACGAUGCGUAGCCGACCUGAGAGGGGAAUCGGCCACGCUGGACCUGAGCCACGGUCCAGUCCCCUCCGGGAGGCGGCAGUAGGGAAUCUUCCGAAAUGGGCGAAAGCCUGCCGGAGCAACGCCGCGUAGGUGAUGAAGGUCUUCGGGUCGUAAAACUCUGUUAUUGGGGAAGAACAAAUGUGUAAGUAACUAUGCACGUCUUAACGGUCCCUAAUCAGAAAGCCCCGGCUAACUCCGU